UUAAAUCAUGUGCAAUGACAUAUAUAAGAUUUCCUUUCUGAUAUAUGAUAUCAGCAAUUCCACGCUGAGUCUAAGAAUUUUACUUUAAAUAAAUUAAAAUUUUUUAUUAGAGAGGAAAUGAGAUUGCUCGCGACCGUAGUUCUAGUUGUUUCACAGUACAGGUUUUACUUCAAAUAAACUAAAAUUUUUUAUCAGAGAGGAAAUGAGAGUGCUCGUGACCGUAGUUCUAGUUGUUUCAUAGUACAGAUGCUGUACCAUACGACCAAGUCUUGAAGUUAACUAAAGUUAGCGUAUAUAACAACCUAUAAAAUUCGGGAUCUACCUUGUUUGGUCGCACACUAGCACAGACAAGAACCUGUUGAGUCCCACGCUACAAUUAUACGGUUCUACGGAAAAGUUCAUAUCCACUUUUCUCACCGAAAUAGACAAGUAUGAAAAUGACAAAGUCGCGGGAUAAUUAAACGAAUUGUGACAUAAAAAAAAGAGGAUGAAUCCCGACAUCUUCGUCCGAGAACAGGAUGUUUCGACGCAGAAGGCGAGGGUGCAGUUACCUGCUGACCGCUGAAACUCUCUUAUUCGUAAAGUAAAACAAAAAGAUCACUAUGAAGUCAGCGUACAAAACAAUCGUGUUCCGAAUUCCACAGUUUCUGAAGAAUCAAUUUCUUCAAUGAUUCUAGGAGCAUCCGAACGAAAGUUUUCCGUUAAAACUGAAGAAGGUCCGUGCCCGAGAAGAUUAAAAGAGAGCGUAAGUCUCAAGAGUUAAGAGGAAGAGUAAAGAGCAGUUGGGAUUUCCUCGAAGGCACAAAUUUACACUUGAAUAAUAUAAAUGAGAGUCUAUUGGUAUAGAAAUGUAUAUACAUAUUAGGUAUAUCUAAUAUUUUUAAAUGUAUUGUGUAUUUUCUCUGUCUUUUGUUAAUAAAUUAUUAUAUUUUGA